rnacentral:tRNA from 1 species
UAGAUUGAAGCCAGUUGUUUAGGGUGCUUAGCUGUUAACUAAUGUUUUAUGGGUUUAAGUCCCAUCAGUCUAG